CCCUCUGCAAUCUGCAGCCUGCGCACCAGCAGGAUGUUGUGGUGGGUGACAGCCAGGGGUGAAACGCUUCUGCAGAAAAGGAAACAAAACCAAUUCGUGUCAGCAGAAGCAAGAGGGAGUAAACGGUAUAAACAGUGCAAACUAAAUGAUACUGGAAAUUUUUGCUUUAUGGCAAUCCAGACUGCUAGUGAUCAUGCAAGACAUAUUUUAAAUUGCUAUGUUGAUAAUCUCUAUUUUAAACAAAAAAAGAAACAUCACUGAAACAGUCUAGAAAACUCCUAAUUUGAGCCGUACCUUGCAAGCUGUGUUACUGUCAAGUCUCAUGUAAAUCUCAUUUACUCUCCUGUAAAUGUAAGAAACAAAACUAAUAAUCUUUGCAUUAUUAGUUAAAGAUGAUGGCAAUGAUCUUGGCCAGCUAGUGAUGUCUUGAGAGUAUGCAGACAGUUGGCACUUUAUCUAUUUAUAAUUUUUAAAAUGGCAGUGCCAUCCCUUCACUCCCACUCCACUUCUCCCACAUACACUCAGCAUUUUAUGAGUCAGGCUGCAAAAAUAUCAAGAGGCCGAUGCAAAAAUUAGAUUUUGGAAAGUUCUUUUUUAAAGAAGGCUUGAGGUGCUUUUUCUUUGCUUUCCUUAUUUUCUGGCUGUGAAUGGGUCAUAUUUCCAAGCCUUGUACUGUCUGCAGUACAAGGACAAUGUUUUCAUUAAAUCUAAAAUCUGAGAGUAUUGUAUGGUUAAGGCGAGGCCACAAAAGAAAUAAAUAUUUUUACACCAGAUUUCUAAGAAUGCUUUUGUAUUUCGUAGAAUCUUUAUUUUUGCAAACAUCUAUAAAUCAAUGGGAUGGUUCACAUGAGAUCAAGCCAUGUAUUAGGCUGUGGCUAUAGAAGCAAGAGGGCAGUCAUGAAAAUCAUGAGUCUUAUCACUGCGUUCAGUACUUAUGCAUGUUUCCAUCCUCAGCACAGGUAGUACACAUCAGGCCAUUCAGGCAUAACAUCAUGAUCCUGUGGCUUCCUAACUACAGUAGUUAGGGAUACCAUACCAUUAACUAGACGAUACCAAGGCCACAGCUUGGACAUACAAUCAUACUCUAGACACAUAUGUCUCACGAGAGAGGUUUAUAUUACUGUCUUCACCCAUUAGCAUUAUGUUUUGAAAGAAUAUGGCAUGAAAUGUGUUUCAGGUUUAAAGGUUCACUGGGGUGGUAGAGAUGUGAAGGCUGCUGAGUGACCUGGUCUCCUGGUUGCUGGAAGGCAGCAAUCCUGGGGGACAAGUCCAGAAUAAAACUCCUGAGUAAACCUGACGUUCCGCUGGGUGCUCAGCCCAGUCCUGCCCAUGACUGUGAGAAGGGGCUCUGCUCUGGGGACACUGUUGUCUCUACUGUGGGUACAGCCACGUAGCUCCUCCUCACUUAGAGGCCCAUAGGGUGAGGGGUGGGCAUGAGGCCUCCACCUUCUGCCUCUGAGAUGUGCCUUUUGGGGUGACUAUCCAACAGAGUGAUAUCUCUGAGCUUGUUGGAGAAGGAUAUUGGUGGGGCAAAUGCAGACGGCAGAAGGACUGAAGCAACCUGAAAAAUACUGUUUGUCAUCCAAGCUUGAAUGGAACUCCACGGAAGGCAGGCAGCAAACUUAUCACCACUCUUCCCUCCAGACUUGCAAGGGCUUGCUAUGAGGCAGAGGUAGCACUGAGCUCCUCCAGAAAAGACUAUACAGAACCUCCUGUUCAGCGUGGGGCAUUGUUUAUAUAGACAAGAGGGUGGCUCUGAGACCAUACAAAGAAGAUCCAAAGCUGCAUUCAAGGAUUAGAGUAAAUCUGUUGGAUUUCUUCCUCCUCUUCCCUUUCUAUGAUCUGGUAAAAUGAGGGGACUUAGAGUAACAGCAUGUGAGGUGGGAUCAGUGGGUGCUUAUGUGUUGGUUGGAAGCAGAUGGGCCUUCCAGAUUAGUUGCCAGUGGAUACAAAAGUAUUUGCACAGGUAGAGUAAGAACAGUCCAGUGUGGGAAUUCUUUUUUUUUUAAUGCAGAACAGUCUAUCCUUCUACUUUCUGGAAAGAAAAGGCCAGGGCUUACUGCCUUCCCUAACAAGUUGCAAGCACAAAAUCUGUCCCCUCUACCCUUAUGCACAUAAAUACUACCUUCACUCAUGCUGGUUUUGUCUGGAGAUGAACUGCUUCACCUGGUUCAAAUUCUUUUCUCUUCCUCAUGUUCCUUUUGCUCUGCACUUUUGUUUCCCCAUACAGCUGGAGUCCCUGCUGGUAUUUUGGAUAACUAGAAUUUUGUCACUGACCCGGUAAUGUCCACAGAGACCUAACCUUUGUUAUUAGCCCUCCUGAAUGUAAGUGCCAAAAUCUAUGUGUUUGCCUUAUCAAACUGGAACCAAAUUCUGGUGUCAGCACAUUGCUGCCACAUCACUCAGUCAGUCCCCUUCAAGGCUAUAAUGAAGGGCAAUAGCAGCCAUGGACAAUACUUGUGGUGCAAAGUGCAAAGGUUCUUUGAUAAAAGGAUUCCUUCCUGAGUAUGUGACUAGGGGAUUUCAGCAAAAACCCUGAGAGCAAACAAGCUGAACCACAUAGUUCUUUUAUAGCACAGAGAAUUACUGAUGUGUUAGUAGGAUAAAUCAGAUGUCAGCUCUCCCAGAGCACCAGGUUUGGCCAAGCAUCUUAUUUUCUCUGCUAAGUUUGAUUUUGUGUUUUUAAAAUUUAUUUACUUAUUUAUUACAUUUUCUUUCUAUGUCCUGUAGUGAGAGGAAAGGUCUGCAAACUGAACCAUACCUGCAUGCUUAUAUCAAUCUCAUGGUCCUACAAGCAGAGAGUCUGUAAGAUGAACUGAGCCUUAACUACAGGAGCAAGAAAUUUGUAUUGGUUUGCCUUCGAAAGGAACAGUCAGCUAUGGGACCUGUGAAGCACUUACUGUUAUGCCUCUGAGUUUAAGGAAAGUCCAGGCUGUUGGUUUUAUCUUUUAGGGAGAAUCUUUCUGUAUUUGUAUGCACACAUAAGAAAUGUUGAAAAUUAAAUGAAAAUGAAACAUUA